CAUAUGUGUAUUCCACAUUAGUUAUUUAUUUAGUGUGUGCAUAGUCAUCUAGCCAAGUGAUGGCAUCUUCAGUGGUGUGAUGCAGUUCUUCUAGGCCACCACUGAACCUAGUCAGCAGGUUUUCAUCGACAAUGUGUGUCAUUGUCUGUGUUGCACCGCAGAUGCACAAAUGGCUAAUCUGUUCAACAGGGACCAUUGAUGAUGGGGCAGGUCAAAACCAGGCAGGCAAAUUGUGGGGUUGGUGAUGAGGGACUAGUUGGGAAAUAUAGCAAAUAUCCAUUCAUCUCGCCAGAGUGUUUCUGCCCUAACAUCCUGGCGUGGUGGAUGAGACCAUAAUGGGCAACAUGAUGGCAAACGUGCAGCUGGUGGUUUAAAAAGGUCAUUGUGCAGCGGCAGGCUUGAGUUGGCACAUACUUUCUCCAGUAACUUGCCGGUGGCAACCUCUCAUCUGAUAUGAGGAGAAGCAGUAUUGCUCAGAACUGGAAGCCAUGGGAGUGCAGUCGGACACUAGGUGCCAGAGAUGAUACGCUGGCAGCAUGUAACUGUGUAUCCACUAGUUUGGGUGUGACAAUCGACUCCAAACUGGUGCACAAUACUCCGCCACCGAAUACGAGGUGGCAAGAGCUGACAUCCGCAAGGUUGGAACACGAACAUCCCAUGACGAACCUGCCAGUUUGCUAAGAAGAUUAUUGCACGUCUUAAGUUUAGCUGCUGUCUU